rnacentral:rRNA from 1 species
CCCUUAGAUGUUCUGGGCCGCACGCGCGCUACACUGACGAAUUCAACGAGAUUAUAACCUUUGCUGGGAGGCAUGGGUAAUCUUGUGAACGUUCGUCGUGAUGGGGAUAGAUUAUUGCAAUUGUUAAUCUUCAACGAGGAAUUCCUAGUAAACGCAAGUCAUCAGCUUGCAUUGAUUACGUCCCUGCCCUUUGUACACACCGCCCGUCGCACCUACCGAUUGAAUGGUCCGGUGAAUUCUUCGGACUGCGGCUUUGACUCGAUUUCGGUCGAGGCGUUGCUGCGGGAAGUUGAUUAAACCUUACCAUUUAGAGGAAGGUGAAGUCGUANCA